UAUAUAUAUGUGAGAAUAAUAGAUGGCGAGGCGAAGGGAUAUUUAAAGAAAUCAACGUUGACAUCGCCUACAAUGAUGAUUUUAUCGGAUAUUUCGUUAACUUUAUCUAAGGACCAUGAAAGAUUAUUCCAAAAUGUAAAGUUUGUGAGAGAUGGACUAUAAAGACAACAUAAAAAGUAUCUACAGACAUGAAUUCAGACGGUAUACAGGAAAAUGAACUCUUCAUUUUUAAAAGACCAACAAAACCAACAACAAGCAAACCGGUCCAACUUCCUUCAGGCACCACCACUACAGCAUCCCCUCCGAUGACCACCACCCUAGCGCAAUUAAAGAAAAAGGGAGCAGUGAGAAGGACGUUUAAAAUUAAGCAAACAUUUAUUAAAAGGUUUUAUCCCAAGAGGGUAUUUUCGCCAGACUACUUUAAAUUCAUCAGAAGAUUUCGCUGGGAAGAUUUCCAGAGGAGGAAGAAAAAUAAUCGGUGCCCAUGGUGCUAAAGAAGGGAUUUUUUCCUUGUUGUUUACUUUGUUGAAAGAAAAUGAAAAGUGUGACAGGAAUAAAUCAAAUGACUCAUAUAA